CUUGUUUGCAAAUCCAGAGUACCAACUGGGUCAACCGAUGGAUCUUUGUGGAACUCCUCUGAUAAGCCUACAGUGGUUCAAGCACCGUACAGGCAGACUGAAGACAGAAAGAAGUGUUAAGAGAUUGCAGAUUGCUUCUGUGGACUUAUUGAAGGUGGAUCUGGCUGUUGGUGGAGAUCCCUAGACUGCAUGGGGCCAUGGGCAUGAUCUGGAGACACAGUAGGUCAUCCUCAGAAUUUACACUCUCUCUCCUUUUGUGCCCCCAUGGACCAAGUUAAGAAGGUGUAGGCUUCCAAUCUGAAGAUUGGUCACCACAAAACUCAAAGGGAAAACCUUUUAGGCCAAAGACCAUCUGAAGUGGCCCUGGUUCCUCCAUGUUUAACUCACUGGCCCCUAAUUUCUGCUGGACCUUCAUUUCAGUCGACUGUGUUUCAGGAGAUUCGGGCCACAACACCCCUGAGUUUACCGGUUUUGGUUUCUUCCUUGUGACCUUCGGCUCCAGGAUGCAGCACAGCUCCUCACUGCACUAUUUAUCAGAAUGUUGCUCUGCAUGCUUGAAAGUUUCCCCAAACAGAGGUACAUAAAAACAAACAGAGGCGAAACACAAAUCCCAUCAGCCCUGGAGGAAAAGGCCCUGAAGCUCUUCCAGUGCAGAGGCCACGCAGAGGACAGGCUCCUACCUGUGCACAUCAGCCACGCCUGGGGCGCCUCCUGGAGUCCAGGCUGCUGGCAAUGGAAUUCAUCAUGUUGCUGAUGUCACUGUAAGUUAAGUCGCAGCUGCCAGCUGAGCUAUGGGACAGUUUGAGGGAUGGCCAGAAGGUUUCUCCUGGAUGCCAUCUUCAGCAUACCUAGGAACCAGAGAAAAUGCAAUUCUUCGCAUGCCCAUCUCACUCCUGCAGCCUGGGGUCCCUCUUCAGUUUAUUUUUUUAUUUUUUUAUUUUUUUAUCAUAAGCACAUAGUCAGGCUCUGGGACAUCAUGGAACCCAGCAGCCUGCUGAAAGGUGAAGCACAAGUCUAAAGUCCUGUUAGUUAUGAAAUCCAGCUCUCCUGGAUUAGGCAAGGGGAAAACCACAUCUUUAAGAUACACUAGGGCAAGAAGUAAAGUAUGGAGAGCUGGCUCAACGAAAUUUUGUGUAUAAUAGGAGCCGUCCUAUGACUAAUUGUCACCUGUCUCAGAGACCUCAUGAUUAUUUCUGAGCUUUAACCAAUGAAUUAAUGUGGGUUCUACCUGGCUCUUCUAACGUCUUUGGAAUGGUUCCUCAGGGAACCACAGCUAUCCAUAGAGAUAACAACCUGAAUACAAGCCCAUCGCCCGAUCAGAUGCUGCUCUUACUUGCAUGACUUGGUUCUAUUCUUGCCCAGUCCCACUGGGAUAGCAGUGGUAGCUAAACAGCUAAGCAGAGUGACCUCAUUAGAUUCUCCUCUAGUAUAAAGUCACAUGUUAACUCAUUUUUGGACUCAUAGUCAGAAACUUGUAAUUUUUCCUCAUUUUGGUAUGCAGCUAUUGCACAGUGGGGGAAAUAUGAGUCAAAAGACUUGCUCUUAUAUUCCAUCUUCCCCCUCAUUGCCUGGGUGUCUUUGGACCAGUUAAUCUUUGAGCCUCAGUUAUCUAGAAAAUGGGGACACUGCUACUUUAUAUAUUUUUUUUUAGUGGGACCUAGAUAAGGUAAUAUAAAUAAAGGGGCUUUAUUUAUAUAUUGAAUGGCAUGAUGUUAGGAUUACCAAAAGGAAAUAGCUAUUCUACUUACAUUACAAUGUGGUUUGAGGAUCAAAUUCAAUAAAAUAUGUGAAGAGGGCUUUGAAAACUAGAAAGAGCUAAGCAAUGCAAAAUGCGUCGCUGCACUUGAAUGUAAUGGCUGGUGUCAUGUCAGCUGGAUUAACUGUGGUCACUAGUUCUCAUAUAUCCAUUUGCUAGAGUAGCUGAGUCCUCUGGACUACGAAAAAGGGCACAGAAGCUACAGAUACGAGAUCUGGUACUAUCUUUAUCACUACCUUUUUAUUGUGAGCACCUCAAUCAUUUUGAGAUAUUUGUCUCAUUUCUUUUACUUUGAAUAUGCAAAAACAACAGUCACCUCCUAAUAUGGCUGUUGGGAAAACACAACUGAAAUGGAUUCAGAAAAUAGCUUUUAAGGACAAAGUUAUGUGAAGGACAUAAAUUGUGCAUGAAGUCUUUCAGCAAUGAAUAGGCACAUCUCCACAUACCCCAGGAUCUUAAGCUGAUAAUGUAACAACAAGAACCUAUUGAAUCAGGACAAGGUGAUGGUUCUGCUCCUGUGGCAAUCUAGGUCUCAGAAUCUGGUAUGCAGGCAGGGUGUAGAGAGCAGAUUGCAUUUUCAGGAGAAAGGUUAAGCUUGAAUGUUUUGGACAGGAGGUGGUUAGAUGCAUUUUUAAAAAGUCCUUGAAUUUACCUGAUGAUUUUUGUGUCCUUGUGAUGGUUGUAGCCCAUUCCAGGAUAUGAAUAAAUUUAGCAACACAAAGGAGGUCAUUUAAAAAUCUUUCCCUCAGAUGCUCCACUUCCUCUUCCUUCUAGCUUUCUCCUCUUCUUCACUAAUUUGGCAACCUGCAAGGCUGCCCUUUUGAUCACUGGCAGUUUAGAAUAGUGAUAAGUGGUUUUGGAAAAUGUUAUUGAAACUUUUAUAGGAGAGUGGUGGAAAGAUGGAGAUUUCUAGAAAACCCUUAAUAGAAGAGAUCCAUUUUACUUAAUUAUUUAUUUAUUUUUAGUUUUAAAACAUUAUUUUAUUUUGAAUUAAUUUUAGACUUUAAGAAAUUGCAAAAAUACUAGAAAGUGUUACUUUAAUCCCUCACCCUGCUUCUGCUUAUGUUGACUGUCUCUCAUCAUCUUAAUAUGAUUAUCAAGAAUAGGAAAUUGAUGUUGGUACAAUAUUUUUAACUAAGCUACAGACUGCAUCUGAUAUUCACCAGUUUUCCUGCAGAUAUCAUUUUUCUGCCAUCCGAGUACUAACCAGACCCGACCCUGCUUAGCUUCCAAGAUCAGACAAGAUUGGGUGUGUUCAGGGUGGUAUGGCUAGAGACCCAAAUAUCAUUUUUCUGUCUCAGGAGCCUAUCCAGGACCCCACAUUGUAUUGAGUUGUAUUUCUCCCUAGUUGACUCCAAUCUGUGACAGUUCCCUGGUCUUUCCUUGUCCUUCAUAACUUUGGCACUUUUCGAAGGAUACUGAUUGUUACCAGUGGAAGGUAUCCGAGUUACCAGCGGCAAAUCCAUACGGGUCUGCAGCAACCUCAAUUCUUGCCCCCUCAAAAGAAAUAAUUUGACUGAGGGGCAUAAAGCAGAAAAAGAGAUCAAGGCAACUUUCAGAGUAGGAGUGGGAGUUUAUUUAAAAAGACUUUAGAAAAGGAAAGAAAAGAAAGUACGCUUGGAAGAGACCCAAGUGGGCAUGUGAAGGUCAAUUGUAGUGUUUAACCUUGAUCCUAGGACUUUAUAGGCUGGCCUCUUUCCCAUGAUUCUUCCUUUAAAGGGGGCUGCCCUCAUGCACAGUGCCCUCCUUACCCUUGGGAGUUGAGCAUGUGCACUGUGUUUAGGAAGUUGUAUGCAUGCCCAUUGGAGGCUUUCUUCCCUUUUCUCAUGGCAUGACCCUGGAAGGCCAUACUCUGCCAUUUUAUCUCCUAAUGCACAUGUCUGGGAAGUUGUGUUUCCCUGGUACCUACAUUAAGUUCACACUUUAGUGCAACAGGUGCAGACAAUCAGGAAAUGGCCUCUCCCUGGCGCUGGCUGCCAAUUUAUCACUUUUAGAGAGGCAAUGUGAUAAUUGCCAAACCAUCACCUGACAUUUUUAGUGGGUGGGGGAAGAGCCCUCUCCUGCCCUGCUUAUGCCUGUCUACCUAUAAAUACACUGAUGAGUAAUUUGGUAGAAUGUCCUUCAUUUUAGGUUUGUCUAACGUUUUGUCAUGAUUAGAGUGAGGUUAUGCCAUUUUGGCAAGAAUACCACAGAAAUGAUACUAUAUCCCUUUUCAGCACAUCAUGCCAAGGGAUUCAUGAUGUUGAUAUGCCUUAUUAAUGGUGAUAUUUACUUUGAGCACUCCAUUAGGUUAGUGUCUGCUGGUUUCUCCAUUAUAAAACCACCUUUGCAAAAAUUAUAACAGUGAGAAAAUUAUGACAGUGAAAGAGAUCUGAUCUAACCAACCCCCAUCUUGCUUUUAACCUCCAAAAUGCCUUACUCAUUUCUGGGCUUAGGCCAAGUUAACUUUGGGAGAAGUUUAGUUUAUAGUUUAACAGAUUAUAUCCCUUCCUCAAAACUAAACCACCUUUGUGUAAAGCUGAUGAAAGACCACCAGAUUAGGAGGAUGAAAGGAACCUGAAUUCUGUUAACAUGUAGAUAUAAAUGAUUACCAGCCAUUAUUCCAGAGGUCACAAGAUUUGCAACUUCCCAAUUACUCCUGCAGAUAACAUCACUAUUGUAGAACCUAAGAUUGGCCUUUUGAGAUGACUUUUCAGAUUUUUGUGUUUCUGAAAAUGGAUGGCUCCACCCAGACCCACCAACUGGUCCUGGCUCCACCCAGAAGUGGACUUAGCUUCUCAUGAGGACCAUUUUCCACACCCCUAUGAUUGCACCCCCAACCAAUCAGCAGCACCCAUUCCCUAGCCACCCCCCUCUCCUAAACUAUCUUUGAAAAACCAUAGUCUCCAAAUUUUCAGGGUGGCUGAUUUGCAUAAUAAUAAAACUCUAGUCUCCUGUUUAUCCAGUUCUAUAUGUGUAAAACUUUCUUUAUUGAAAUUCCCCUGUCUUGAUAAAUUGGCUCUCUCUGGAGAGCAGGCAGGAAGAACCCAUUGGGUGGUUACAACUAUACAGUUACUGUAUUUCUCUUUGUAGCUGAUAAGUGUUUUGAGGGAGAUACUUCGAGUUUAUUCAAAUCCUGUUUAUUGUUCUUGAUUUUUUUUUUCCAUAAAGGAUCAGAUACCUGUGUGUUUUCUUAUAUCUGAUUUCUUACACAAAGAAUCACAUAACCCAAAAUCACAUCUUUUGGGUUUUGGGUUUUGUUGUUGUUUUUUUUCCGUUACUUAAUAUGUCAUGGAAAGCACCCCAUAUCCACUCUAGAGACUUUCCCCAUUGUUUUAUACAUUUGCAUAGUACUCCAUGUUAUUGUACCAGCUUAUUCAAGCACUCUUCCAUGAUGGGCAUUUAAGUUGUUUCCAGUGUUUUGCAAUUAUAAACAAUACAUAAUGAGUAAGUUUAUGCGUAUGCAUUUUUGUAUUGUCAGAGAUACAUACCCUAGAAGUGGGAUUGCUAGGUGAAAAGGGAAAUGCAUGUGUACUUCGGUUAGAUAUUGCCUAAUAUCCCUCCAAAAGGAUUGUACCAAUUUGCAUUUCUAACAGGGAAAGUGCCCAUUUCCCCAUAGCUUCACCAACAAGCCUUAACAACAGAAUGUAUUCUCAUAUUUGUUUUAUUUUUGCCAAUUCAAUAAAUGAGAAAGGGAUUUCCUUAAUUAUCAGUGAGUUUAACCAUUUUCUGCAUGUUUAAAAGCCAUUUUGAAUCUUUGUCUUUUUUUUUAAAAUGAAAUUAUCUGUUUAUGCCUUUUCCUCAUUUUUACCUCAGGAUUUUGUCCUUCAAUUUUAAAGAUUUUUUUAUGUGUAAGGAAUAUUAGCCUUUUUUCUCUAGUUUAUGUUACAAAUAUUUUCUCCCAAUAUGUUAGUUGUUCUUUGAUUUUGUUUAUGGUGGUUUUUGUCACACAAAAAAUGCAGUCAAAUUUAUUAAUCUUUUAAAAAAUUGCCCCUGGAUUUUAAAUCAUAGUUAGAAAGCCUUUCCUUACCAAGUCUAAAUAAUAAUAUAGCCAUUUAUUUUCUAUACUAUGUGGUUUUAGUUUUUAUAUUUACAUCGCUAAUCCACUUGGAGUUUAUUCUGCUGCUAUAUGGUAUGUUUUACCCUAGUGGUUUGAGAUGCCACUUUUGUCAUAUACUAAAUUUCCAUAUGUAUUUUGGUCUAAUUCUGGACUAUUCUCUUCCACUGGCUUGUCUAUUUCUCUGUUUAUGCUCCAGUACCACACUGUUUUAAUUAUCCAGGCUUUAGCAAAUGUUUUAAUUUCUGAUAAGCCUAAUCACCACAGCUUUUCUUUUUCAGUGUUUUUCUACCUCGUUCUUACAUGUCAUUUGUUUUCAUAUGAACUUUAGUAUCAAAAUCUCUAACUCCAGAAAAUAGUCUAUUCAUAUUUUGAUGGAAUUGUAUUACAUUUAUAAAUUAACUUGGGGGAAGUGGUAUUUUCAUAAUGUUAUAAUUCUAUCCAAGAACAGGGGGAUGUCUUUCCUUUUAUUCAAGUUUUUAUUACUGUCUGUUAGGAGUGUUUUGAUAUUUUCCAUGUAUAGGUUUUCAUACCUCAAGUUAAAUUUAUUCAUAAGUACUUACUAUAUUUUGAUGCUAUUUAAAUGGUGUUUUUUUUACCAUUAUGUCCUGUUUAUUGUUUGCUUAUAUGAAGUUAUUGAUUUUUAUGUUGAUUUUACAUCCUUCUUCAGUAAAUUAUUUUAUUUUUUGAAUUGGCUUUAUUAUUGAUUCUCUGGGAUUUUCCACAUAUAUUAUAUCAUCUGCAAAUAUAGAAUUUUACCACUCAUUUAGUCACUCUUCUGCCUUUCAUUGAUUUCUCAUAUCUAAUUGCACUGGCUAAUAUCUCUAACAGUAUCAGAGAUAGUAGAAAUUUAUGUAUUGCUUCUGAUGUUGAUAGAAACAUCUCUAUUGUUUCUCCAUUAAAUAAGAUAAUGACUUCAGGACUAUGAAACCCCAAAAUUUGAGACAGGUAUCAGUUAAUUUAGAAAGUUUAUUUUGCCAAGAUUGAGGAUGUGCACCUGUGACACAGCCUCAGGAAGUCCUGAUGACAUGUGCCCAAGGUGGUCGGGGCCCAGCUUGGUUUUAUACAUUUUAAGGAGACAUGUGACAUCAAUCAAUAUAUGUAAGAAGUACAUUGGUUCUGUCCAGAAAGAAGGGGACAACUCAAAGCAGGGAAUAGGCUUCCAGGUCACAGGUAGAUGUGAGACAAAUGAUUGAAUUCUUUUUAGUUUCUGAUAAGCCUUUCCAAAGGAGGCAAUCAGAAUAUGCAUCUAUCUCAGUGAGUAGAGGGAUAACUUUAAAUAAAGAAUGGGAGGCACAUUUGCCCUGAGCAGUUCCCAGGUUGAAUUUUCCCUUUAGCUUAGUGAUUCUGGGGGUCCAAGAUAUUUUCCUUUUAUAGGACCAAUUAUCAUGUUGAGCAAGUAUCCAUCAUUUCCUACAUAUAGGAGUCGUUUUAUGAUAAGUAUGUGUUAAAUUUUGUCAAAUGCUUUCUCAGCAUUUUCUUGGUCUAUGGAGAUGAUUAUAUGUAUUUUUUCCUUUAGACAUUAUUAUGUGUAGUGGGAUGAAUAAUGGCUACCCAUAGACAUUGGGUUCUAAUCCUGGGAACUUGUAAAUGUUACCUUAUAUGAUAAAAUUUUGGCAGA
rnacentral:lncRNA from 1 species